UGGGUGAGUAACGCGUGGGUAACCUGCCCUUAAGUCUGGGAUACCAUUUGGAAACAGAUGCUAAUACCGGAUAAAAGCUACUUUCGCAUGAAAGAAGUUUAAAAGGCGGCGUAAGCUGUCGCUAAAGGAUGGACCUGCGAUGCAUUAGCUAGUUGGUAAGGUAACGGCUUACCAAGGCGAUGAUGCAUAGCCGAGUUGAGAGACUGAUCGGCCACAUUGGGACUGAGACACGGCCCAAACUCCUACGGGAGGCAGCAGUU
rnacentral:rRNA from 1 species